GCGCUUUACAGUGUUUGAACUCGUCCGUACGAUUCAUCAUUCGCAUUCGCGAGUCGGCUUUUUCUCUAUGCAGAUCGCGUUUAUAGUAAAUAUAUAUAUAUAUAAAAUAAUUUAUUUUGAUUUUUCGAACCAUCUUAAGUGUCUUGUAGGCUUAUGAUAAAUUAGUACUUAGACUACAGAAAAAAAAAAAAAAAAAACAUCAAAGAAAUGAAAAAUGUGCUCCUGAAUGUGUGAUACGUUGAUUUCUGUACCAGUAAUAACCAAGGAUAAUACGGAAACGGGAUUAUCUUAACCACUCGGUUCGCUGGAACCGUUCUCAUCGAUCGAACAAGAUAGAUCAGUUUAAUACUGAUAACCGAAACCGAGAUGUUAGAUUUACGAUAUCGAAAAUGGUAUGUUUCACGUGACGUGAUAACUGACAAGGUUAAUCGAGAAUACAAUUAAAUUUCCAAAACAGAUGUCGACAACAAUCGCUUGUAUUAUUCGACAUCUGAACGUUUUGUCUAUAGUUUCCGCAAUCUACAACAUCGUCACGGAAAUCGUUUAAUCUCGAUAACCAUGCAAACGCCUGAAAAUUAGUUGUAUUUCAAAAACGGGUAACAAUAAUUGUACUCGAUUAUAAAAUUUAAUAUAUUUUCUUCGACGAGUUAAUCGAAACGAAAUUCGGAAACAGUAAAUUAACAACAACGUGUAACCGAUAUUAUACUCCGAUGUAAUGUAAGAUACAGAUUGGCGUGCUCAGGAUGAGACGUCCGCUAUAGAAAGUCUGUCGAAACAACUGCGCGAAAUCGAAAGGGGCAAUCCGGCGAAACGCGUCGUAUACGAAUUCAGGUCAUGUGGCGAUAAUACCUUUCCGACGGCCCACGAAUAUCGGACUCAGGUCGGCCGUAGCGAUGUGCAGCUGUUAUUGCGGUUGCGGGACACAUUGAAACCCAGUUUCCUUUUAAAAAUCAUUAGAGCCACUUCGAUGUACUAUCGUGUUAAUCGUAAUAAAUAAUCGGAACAUUUUUAUUUGAAAAAAAUGUGUACUCAUUGCGCUAUAUUAACGUAUUUUUUAAACAGUUAUUAUUUUGACGAGUUUUUUUAUAAAUUUUAACUAGUCCAUCGUAAGAAGGUCGGGUAGAACAACAAACCACGUUUUUUGAUGUAAUUGAACCGGAUUAAACAAUCGCGUCGUUUUAACGGGAAUUAUGAAUAAUUUAAAUUGUCAAUAUACCCCCUUCUCAAUCAUACCCUGGGAUACGCCGCUGUCACGAUGCUAUUAUCGAUCCGACUUUCGAUCGAUUGGCGAUAGAUGCGCGCACCACCAUGACCUCUUGACAGCAAAAGAAUUGAUCGAAAUAAGACGUUCAGCUCGGCGGUGACUGAUGGUGGUGGUACUCGGGUCCGAUGUGGCGAUGGUUUUCGCAGGAUUUGGUUGGUUUUGGCGGUCAAAGGUAUUGGAGUUCAUCGAGGAUGACAAUAUCGAUAAAUUACAUUCUAUUAUGUGUACGAAUUAAAUUCAACGCGCGUCACGGUCCACGAAGGGUUAUUUAUAGAUCCCGUGAGUCCUCACCAAACGUUCGCUUGCACAUUUAUAUUAUGAAUUAUUUAUUUAUCACAUAGAAAAGUCACACAUCCGUGCUUCUAUGUCAGGUUCACGUGUGAUAUUGAUUGUUUUGUUAUUAUUUUAUAAUUUUCCACGGAAAUCGACCGGAAUGUCAACCGGACCGAAUAUUUAUAAGUGUUAAAUCAUGUCAAUGUUAUAAAACUAUUUUCGUGUUUUAUAAUUAAAUGUGUCUUUACGU